rnacentral:lncRNA from 1 species
UGAAAAAUUCGAAUUGUCACAAGGGGGUUAGUUAAGUGAACGGAAAGCAAAGUCUUCGUACUAACAUUAAAGGCUUCGAAGCUAUUCAUAAGAUAUCCUUAAUCUAUAGGGAUAGAAACUAAAGCAAGCCAAACGUUAACUGUGACGCUCCCAAAAUAGGUAUACAACACCCAUUCUGAGUCGUCAAAAUACAUGGUAUAGAAAGCAAACUACAACUUUGACAAUAUAGAUAUCGUGUAGAAUACGACAAUACAACUGUGAGUUUGAAUACAAAUAUUAUCUUCUAGACAAUAUACACACCCAAAUAAGUCCUC